AUUGAACGCUGGCGGCAUGCUUUACACAUGCAAGUCGGACGAGUGGCGAACGGGUGAGUAAUAUAUUGGAACGUACCGAGUAGUGGGGGAUAAACAAUCGAAAGAUUGGCUAAUACCGCAUAUUAUUCGAGCGGUCAAUAUCUGUUUAGCUAGUUGGUGGGGUAAAGGCCUACCAAGGCGACGUUCAGUAGCGGGUCUGCGAGGAUGAUAAGCGACACUAGGAGUGAGACACGGCCCAGACUCAUAGGGGAGGCAGCGGUGGGGGGUUUUGGACAAUGGGCGCAAGCCUACACCAGACAUGCCGCGUGUCUGAAGAGGGCCUUCGGGUUGUGAAGGACUUUUGUUAGGGUAGCGGUACCUGUAUAAGAAGCACCGGCUAACUACGUGCCAGCAGCCGCGGUAAUUC
rnacentral:rRNA from 1 species